GCCAAGGUAGCUCAGAUAGGUAGAGUGCAUGUAAUACAUGAGGUCGACAGUUCGAAUCUGUUCCCUGGCUCA
rnacentral:tRNA from 1 species